AGAUUCGAGGCGAUUCGAGGCGAGCCGGGUGGCGGAGGGCAGUGUCUGUGCCCGCAGGGCGGUGGGAGUGGUCUCCGAGAGGUGAAGACUUCCACUGGAUAUCCAAAGGAGAAGAUCAAAGUAGCUGUAGAAAGUUGUUUUUUAAAAUGACACAGAAGCAUACAAGCAAUGGAAGACAGGAGAAACCUUAAAGCUUGUAUGGAAGGCUUUAUGGAUAGAGCUGCACCCUGUCUGCAUGGAAGACAGUGAGACCUCUGAUUGGUCCGUGCCUUUCAGGGUCAUAAUCAUCUAACGUUAGAUCCUGCAUUUCUGUGCCUUAUUGGAUAUGUAAGGCCGAGACCUCCUGCAGAAUCCAGCUUAGUCCACUAUGUCAAAAGCAACCACUAUCAAAAACUAUUUGUUUUUGACAGAAAAAGUCAGCCUGACCGCUAAAAAGGACUCUAGUAGGAGGGAUGCCAGAGUUUGUUGGUAGUUUCAGUUGCUCUAUUUCAGUAGUUUUCUAGGCACAUACAGAAGUAAAUGGCCUUGAUGCAGAUUAACAAAUCCUCAUCUGGCAAAACUCAAAUAAUAUGUUUAAAUCAUAGAAAGGACAGCCAGCAUCUACUUCUGUCACACUUGGUACUCAGCCUCUAUUCCGUCUAGAUUGACUUUGAAUGAUUUAAUUAAUACAGUGAUUUUCAGUGAUCAUUCACAUUCUUGUUUUGAAAGAGUUUUAUUUCAAAGAAUAAAAGAAUCAUAUUGUUCUUAUUUACAGAAGGGAAGAUAAUACUACUAAAAAGCUUGUCAUGUAUAACAGCACCAUUUCAGCAUAACUUUUUCAGCUUAAUCUUUAAAAUAGAUAUUUUGAAAAAUCUGUACUUUUUAAAAUUAAUUAUUGUUUUUAUUAUGGUUGAACAUAGCGUGCAAGAUCAAAACAGACAGAGCAUGCUUUGAGUACCUGUGUUUGUACUCCCCUUGUUCAAAUUUCCCAUUGCAUACCUUUUUUCCAUUAGCAAAUAAAAGACAAAUAUAAAAGUCAACCUCAUGUAAGUAUUAUAGGGCUGAAAUCUAGAACACCCUUCUGUGAAAAGCAAGCUGCCAAUGUAGCUGCUUCUGUCAUCUGAAAUCCAGGAAGAAAACUCUCUAACUCCAGUGUGGUGUUAGAAAGUGGCAUUCCUUUAUUCCUCACAACACAUACCGUGUGACUUGACAAGCAAGCACACUCUCCCUGAGUUCAGGUUCUACAUGUGUACAGUUAAGACAUACAUAUGCAGUACAUUGGCAUACAUAGUCAUUCUUUUUCAAGGACUUGGAGAUAUGUGCCAAGGUCCCCUUAGGCAUGCUCAGUGGUAUCUUAGUGGUUGAGUGCCCACCUACUUCUUCCCUUUUUUUCUUCACCGUUAGCUUCAUCACUGAGGCCUUUGACUCAUAUUCAUCCACUCUGGAAGAUUUCCAUUGCAUAUUAGGCCAUAGUGAGCAACUUUUUAAAACAGUGUAUGUGGAAACCAAGGAAAAUGUCCUUGCACCUUUUGAGACAAAAGAUGAAAGUAUUCUGUUAUGUCUCCAGUGCAAAAUUAUUGAGGAAAAUAAGACUAUUCACCCACUAAAGCAGAAAUGAAAAGUUUUAGAACUCUCACUUAUGGAUUCAGUUUGCUAAACAAAUGUAUUGGUUCUUAAAUUAAUGUACGAAUACCUAUUGCUAAAUAAACCAACCUAUAUCAAC